UACGGCCACGUCAAGUUGAAACAGCACUUCCCGCACGAUCACCGAAGUGAAGCAACGUCAAGCUUGGUCAGUACCUAGAUGAGUGACCGCUUGGGAGUACUAGGUGUUGUAA